GAUAACAGCGCCAUCCCCUUCUAGAGUCCAUAUCGACAAGGGGGUUUACGACCUCGAUGUUGGAUCAGGGCACCCCCAUAGUGCAGCCGCUAUUAAAGGUUCGUUUGUUCAACGAUUAAAGUCCUACGUGAUCUGAAUUCAGACCGGAGAAAUCCGGGUC